CACAAAUGCUUACACACACUAAAACUCAGCACAGUUACUGACACUGGAAUUGAGUGAUAAGCGGCUACGGUGUUCCACAUAGGCAGUGUGCACAAACACACGCGUGCGCGAAACGCUACUGCUCGAUGCGCUUUAGGAUUUACUACAGCAGGGCAAUCAUAUUCUCUUAACGGCGUAUAAAAGCUAAUGGAUCAGCGGAUCUAGGCCAGGAGCGACAAUUUGAUUAUGAGAGGCGGCCCGCGCAAGUCUAACUCUGGCAAAAGACUAAAAUUAUGAAGUUCGAAUCCCUCAGUCCUCGCCGACGCUUGCUGCACAGUUCAGGUGAGCGUUUGCAUUUCGCUGCGCAUAGAUAAACCAUAUGCGAUAACUAUCGUACUAGACGCUCGCGUUGGUGGCAUGGCAGCCAUGGACAUGGCAUGGCAUUCGUUCUGAGCUCUCGAUGAAUACACAUAAACUAUACUAACUUAUCUUUUAGCUGAUAA